CUGAUUUCUGAGUCGGUGUCGCUCUCUAUCUGUGCUCUGGCACAUUUCCAUAGCCGCGCCCGUUCUGCCUGGCGCAGAAAGGCUCUUUUGCGUGGAUGGGACACGCUUUCUGGGGCGACCGAAGGUACGCCAGUCAUGGUGUUUCUGGAGGCAGAGGGAUGCUUGGACUUACGGGUAGCCUUUUUAAACACCUCUCCCUGGGGUUUCAUGGAGGGACGCGGUAAAGGCGUCGAGAAGCCCGAAAGUUGCUCGUCUGAAGGACAUGGCAAGAGGGCCUGUGAA